rnacentral:miRNA from 1 species
UGGCUGCUUCCCUUGGUCUCCAG